rnacentral:miRNA from 1 species
AGGGAAUCGGAAAGAGUGUAC